rnacentral:rRNA from 1 species
GAGACUCUGUGCGCGUGCAUAUCAAUAAGCGGAGGAAAAGAAACUAACAAGGAUUCCCUAGUAACGGCGAGUGAAGCGGGAAGAGCUCAAAUUUGAAAUCUUAAAGGUUUCCCUUGACGAAUUGUAGUUUAAAGAAGUGUUUUUCUGUUAGUGGAGUUCGGUAAAAGUUCUUUGGAAUAGGACAUCAUAGAGGGUGAGAAUCCCGUAUUUGACCGUUACUUUCCUAGCUGUGUGAUACACUUUCAAAGAGUCGGAUUGUUUGGGAAUGCAGUCCAAGAUGGGUGGUAAAUUUCAUCUAAAGCUAAAUAUUGGCGAGAGACCGAUAGCGAACAAGUACCGUGAGGGAAAGAUGAAAAGAACUUUGAAAAGAGAGUUAAACAGUACGUGAAAUUGUCAAAAGGGAAGCGUUUGACACCAGUGUUGUUUAGUUGAGAAUCAAUUCAAUAAUUUUUGAUUCUAAGUAGUAUUGACUUCAUCAGCUUGCUGCUUUCUUUCUCAGGAAUUAUUGAAUGCACUUUUCAGUUAACAAGUCAACAUCAAUUUCUUUUGUUGUAAAGGGUAAGAGGAAGGUGGCUUACGCUUCGGCGUCAAGUGUUUAUAGCCUUUUAUCUCUGCAAUCGGAGAGAUUGAGGUCAUGCAGCGUAGAUCCUUCGGGGGUUAGAUACACUUGGUGCUAAGCUAUAGCCUUGUAUAGACAGCUUGUUGACUAUGCUCAGUCAUGUAGCUUACUCGCUGAUGCUAUUUUACCUACGCUUAGGAUGUUGACAGCAGUAUAGACUGU